rnacentral:rRNA from 1 species
GACAACAGUUGGAAACGACUGCUAAUACUCUAUACUCCUGCUUAACACAAGUUGAGUAGGGAAAGUUUUUCGGUGUAGGAUGAGACUAUAUAGUAUCAGCUAGUUGGUAAGGUAAUGGCUUACCAAGGCUAUGACGCUUAACUGGUCUGAGAGGAUGAUCAGUCACACUGGAACUGAGACACGGUCCAGACUCCUACGGGAGGCAGCAGUAGGGAAUAUUGCGCAAUGGGGGAAACCCUGACGCAGCAACGCCGCGUGGAGGAUGACACUUUUCGGAGCGUAAACUCCUUUUCUUAGGGAAGAAUUCUGACGGUACCUAAGGAAUAAGCACCGGCUAACUCCGUGCCAGCAGCCGCGGUAAUACGGAGGGUGCAAGCGUUACUCGGAAUCACUGGGCGUAAAGGGCGCGUAGGCGGAUUAUCAAGUCUCUUGUGAAAUCUAAUGGCUUAACCAUUAAAC